rnacentral:lncRNA from 1 species
AUUACGAGCAGGUUUUUUGUCUCAUUUUGUUUUUUGAGACAGGGUCUCAGUCUGUUACUCAGGCUGGAGUGCAGUGAUGUGAUCAGCCUAAGUCUCCACACUUAAGUGGAGUGCAAAUGGGAGACAUCCUGGUUGUUUUGGUGUUUUUUUUGUUUUUAUUCGCUUUUUAGAGAUGAGGGUCUCACUGUGUUGCUCAGGCUGGACUGGAACUCCUGGGCUCAAGUGAUCCUCUCAAGCCACCUCCCAAGUAGCUGGGACUACAGGCAUGCACUGCACAUGGCUUGUGUUUUGAUUCAGAACAGGCAACGCCCAAGUUCGGAAAGGCUUGUGUGGUGGGGAGAAGAAAAGAAAAACCUGGGCUGGGCGCUAAGCCACACACCUGUAAUUCCAAAACUUUGGGAGGCCGAGGUGGGGGGAUUGCUGGAGCCCAGAAGUGUGAGACCAGCCUGGGCAACACAGCAAAACCCCGUCUCUACCAAAAAAAAAAAAAAAGGGAAAGAAAAAAACCCGGAAAGCCAGGUUUCCUGCAUUCUGCCUUUCUAGGCAGGGCCAGAGUAAGCUGCUGCUGGGUGGGCUGCGUGAAAGCUAGUGAGUAUGCAACAAGCCUGGCCCUUGGGAAGCAGUAACCACAGGUCAAAGAGCAAAGCAGUGACAACACUGCCUGCCCUCAAGACUGGGCCAGGGCCUGGGAUUGGGCCACUGGGCCAACACCUCAGUAAGGAGUUUUUUUUAUUUUUUUUUGAGAUGGAGUCUCCCUCUGUCGCCCAGGCUGACCUCAGGUGAACCGCCCAUCUCAGCCUCCCAAAGUGCCGGGAUUACAGCCGUGAGCCACCACACCUGGCUUGGGGGUUAGAUCUUUACCUUGUCCUACUUUAAAAAUCAAUGAGGCCAGGCAUGGUGGCUCACACGUGUAAUCCCAGCACUUUGGGAGGCCGAGAUGGGAGGAUUGCUUGAGUCCAGGAGUUUGAGACCAGCCUGGCCAACAUGUGGAGACCCUGUUGCUACAAAUUUUUUUUUUUUUUUGGUUGCGGGGGAUGGAGUCUCACUCUGUCACCCAGGCUGGAGUGCAGUGGUGCAAUCUCGGCUCACUGCAACCUCCGCCUCUUGGUUUCAAGCAAUUGUCCUGCCUCAGCCUCCCAAAUAAGAGGCUGAAACCACCCCAGGCCCAAAAAAUAAAUUAAAAAUUAAAAAAAUUAUUGGCCGGGUACAGUGGCUCAUACCUAUAAUCCUAGCACUCUGAGAGGCCGAGGUGGGUGAAUCAUCUGAGGUGAGGAGUUCGAGACCAGCCUGGCCAUCAUGGUGAAACCCCGUCUCUAUUAAAAAUACAAAAAUUAGCCAGACGUGGUUGUGUGUGGCUGUAAUCCCAGCUACUCGGGAGGCUGAAGCAGGAUAAUCACUUGAACCCAGGAGGAAGAGGUUGCAGUGAGACAAGAUUGUGCCAGUGCACUCCAGCCUGGGUGACAGAGUGAGACUCUUGCAAACAAAUAAAAAAGUAUUUAAAUAAUUUUUUCUUUUUUUAGACACAUGGUCUCACUAUGUUGCCUAGGCUAGUCUCGAACUCCUGGGUUCAAGCGAUCCUCCAGCCUUGGUCUCCCAAAGUGCUAGGAUUACAGGUGUGAGCCUCCACACCUGGUAUACAAAAAAUAAGAUGUUUAAAUUAGCCAGGUACAGUGGUGCAUACCUAUGGUCCCAACUAUUCAGGAGGAUCACUUGAGCCUGAGAGGUUGAGGCCUGCAGUGAGUCAUGAUCACGCCACUGCACUCCAGCCUGGGUGACAAAGGGAGAUCCUGUUCCAAAAAAGAAAGGUAGGGGAAAGGGUUAGGCAUGGUAGUUCCUGCCUGUAAUCCCAGCACUUUGGGAGGCCAAGGCAGGUGGAUCACUUGAGGUCAGGAGUUCGAGAACAGCCUGGCCAACAUGGGGAAACCCCGUCUCUACUGAAAAUACAAAAAUUAGCUGGGUGUGGUGGCGGUUGCCUGUAAUCCCAGCUACUUGGGAGGCUGAAGCAGAGAAUCACUUGAACCCAGGAGGCGGAGGUUGCAGUGAGCUGAGAUUGUGACACUGCACUCCAGCCUGGGCAACAGAGUGAGACUCUGUCUCAAAAAAAAAAAAAAAAAGACUCAAAACAAAACAAAAAACAAAAAAAAAAUCAAUGAAGCUGUGGGGACAGAAGUAAGCCAGGCCUUGAAGUGCUGUUAGUGAUAGAAUGGGGGAAUCAGAGGGUGGCCACCAAAUCCUAGACAGUUCAGGGGGCAGGAAACACAUCCCUGCCCUGGGUACCAGCCCCUCCACCUCACCCCCAGCCAUUUUCUAUGCUCAGAACAAAGUCCAGGACAAGACCUGCAUCUAGACUGUAAUCUCACUGCUCACCAGCUCCUUUAACAGGGGGAACAUCAGUCCUGGAGAUGCAGAGGUGGAGGCUGGACCAAGACAGUAUCAUUUUCCCAGGACCUGGCGUCAUCCUCAACAGCUUAAGGAGAGACAGAUUCCAUUCUGUUCCACUCUCUAUGGCCUUGGCUGCCCUAACCUGGUAGAGGGGGAGAGGCUGGGACCAGGCUAUGAGGGGGCCCCUCACUCCCAGUUCAGCCCCCAGAGCCGCUGCAAUGGACGCAGGGAGGCUUCAGCAGUGUAUCCCUCCUACCCACUGGGCCUAGCCUGGAAGUGUGAGGUAGAGUUGCAGUGUGGGUGCUCACGGGAGAUCUGGUGCGGGCACAGCUCCCCCAGGACUUGCUGCCAUUCUUUCCUUCCAAUAAGCCACAG